rnacentral:rRNA from 1 species
AUUGAACGCUGGCGGCAGGCCUAACACAUGCAAGUCGAACGGUAACAGGAAGAAGCUUGCUUCUUUGCUGACGAGUGGCGGACGGGUGAGUAAUGUCUGGGAAACUGCCUGAUGGAGGGGGAUAACUACUGGAAACGGUAGCUAAUACCGCAUAACGUCGCAAGACCAAAGAGGGGGACCUUCGGGCCUCUUGCCAUCGGAUGUGCCCAGAUGGGAUUAGCUAGUAGGUGGGGUAACGGCUCACCUAGGCGACGAUCCCUAGCUGGUCUGAGAGGAUGACCCGCCACACUGGAACUGAGACACGGUCCAGACUCCUACGGGAGGCAGCAGUGGGGAAUAUUGCACAAUGGGCGCAAGCCUGAUGCAGCCAUGCCGCGUGUAUGAAGAAGGCCUUCGGGUUGUAAAGUACUUUCAGCGGGGAGGAAGGGAGUAAAGUUAAUACCUUUACUCAUUGACGUUACCCGCAGAAGAAGCACCGGCUAACUCCGUG